rnacentral:rRNA from 1 species
AUGGCCCGGCUCGCCCUCUCCGACUGCCGCGGCCUCACGCCGCUCCGCGCGCGCAGCCGCGGCGGCGCCAUUGCGCUGCCGUCGCCUCCCCACCUCGCCGCGGGGCCGCGUCGCCCCGCGGCUGCCGCCAUCCACCGCGACUGGGCGCUCCGCGUCGCCGCGCCCACCCGCCUCGCCUCCGUCUUCGAGGAGGAUAAAAGGAGCCUCGGGGGAGCGGAGGAGGCCGGGAGCUCCUCGGCCGGGUUCAACCCGGGGGCGCCGCCGCCGUUCGGCCUGGCGGAGAUCCGCGCGGCCAUCCCGAAGCACUGCUGGGUCAAGGACCCGUGGCGGUCCAUGAGCUACGUGCUGCGCGACGUCCUGGUCGUGCUCGGCCUCGCCGCCGCCGCCGCGCGGGUCGACAGCUGGCUCGUCUGGCCGCUCUACUGGGCCGCGCAGGGCACCAUGUUCUGGGCGCUCUUCGUCCUGGGACACGACUGUGGGCAUGGGAGCUUCUCAAGCAACCCAAAGCUGAACAGCGUGGUUGGCCACAUACUCCAUUCCUCAAUUCUCGUUCCAUACAACGGCUGGAGGAUCAGCCACAGGACGCACCACCAGAACCACGGCCAUGUGGAGAAGGACGAAUCCUGGCACCCGCUACCCCAGAGGCUGUACAAUAGCCUGGACAAUAUGACAAAGAAGUUGCGGUUCAGCAUGCCAUUUCCCAUGCUUGCAUUCCCCUUAUACUUGUUUGCGAGGAGCCCUGGCAAGGAAGGCUCACACUUCAACCCGAACAGCGAUUUGUUCCAACCUAAUGAGAAAAAGGAUGUGCUAACAUCCACUGCGUCCUGGCUAGCAAUGAUUGGGGUUCUUGCAGGUCUGACCUUUGUGAUGGGGCCUCUUAAAAUGCUAAAGCUCUAUGCAGUCCCAUAUGUGAUAUUUGUUAUGUGGCUGGAUUUUGUCACAUACUUGCAUCAUCAUGGUCACGAAGACAAGGUUCCCUGGUAUCGUGGAAAGGAAUGGAGCUAUCUGCGCGGAGGAUUGACAACACUUGAUCGGGACUACGGGUUGAUCAACAACAUACACCAUGACAUUGGCACUCAUGUCAUUCACCAUCUUUUCCCGCAAAUCCCGCAUUACAAUCUUGUCGAGGCGACUGAGGCAGCAAAGCCAGUUCUUGGCAAGUACUACAAAGAACCAGAGAAGUCGGCUCCUCUCCCAUUCCACCUACUGCAGGUGCUAUCGCGGAGUUUGAAGGAGGAUCACUAUGUUAGCGACACCGGAGACAUAGUUUACUACCAAAGUGAGUCAGAGACGAGUACUUCUGGACAGAGCUCUGAUUGA